UACGUAGGGCGCAAGCGUUGUCCGGAAUUAUUGGGCGUAAAGAGCUCGUAGGCGGUUUGUCACGUCUGCCGUGAAAACCCGAGGCUUAACCUCGUGGCUUGCGGUGGAUACGGGCAGACUAGAGGUAGGUAGGGGAGAAUGGAAUUCCCGGUGUAGCGGUGAAAUGCGCAGAUAUCGGGAGGAACACCGGUGGCGAAGGCGGUUCUCUGGGCCUUACCUGACGCUGAGGAGCGAAAGCGUGGGGAGCGAACAGG
rnacentral:rRNA from 1 species